UGCAUUUGAAGGACUACAAGUGUAUAAACGAGAGUAUUGCUGUCUAGUUCCAUGACAAGGGUGGAUGGCACCUACACUUUAUAGUGUGUACUCAUAAAAGGCAGUACUAGGUGUCAAUGGGAUUAAGUCGUUUUACCAUAAUGUGUUUACAUAGUGUAUUUAUAUAAAGCAGGAUAAGGAUCUAGGGAGAUUUCUCAUUUGGUGAAGUGUUUGUUGUGCAGCCAUGAGGACCUGAAUUUGGAUCCCCAGUACCCACUUAAAAAUCUAGGUGUAGUGGCAUACAUCUCUAACUCCAAAGCUGGGGGCUGGAGAUAGGCAGAGACAAGUAUUUCCCUGGAGUUCAUUGGUCAGCCAGCCUUGCCAAAGGUAAAGAGCAAUUAAAGAAGACAGCCAAUGUUAACCUCGACCUUCACACAUAAAGAAUAGAAACACUGUAAUCAUCCUUAUGUGCACACAUACACAAAACAAGGGUGAGGGGUGGAAAGUUUACCAUGUACCUGGAUAUUUGUUGCUAGGUGAGAAAACAUCUGCUAUCCAUAAGCAGUGAGCACUAUGCUUUACUUUCUGGAAAAAAAAUGAUUUGUCUCAGAAACACCUAGCUUAAAGGUCAUUCAUAAGAAAUGAAAUAGUGUGGCCAUUGUGGCUGAAGGGAGCUGUUUAUUCAUGUGUUCACCUGUCUGAGGCACUUUCAGCUUGAGGUGCUCUCAGCUGGGCAGAAAGCAUGGGUUUACUUUGCCUUCUUUCCUCUUCCACAGGGACACAUGGAAGGGGAAGUGUGGGGGCUGGCAGCACACCCGCUCCUGCCCAUCUGCGCGACAGUAAGUGAUGACAAAACACUUCGGAUCUGGGAAUUAUCCUCCCAGCACCGCAUGCUGGCUGUACGGAAACUUAAAAAAGGUACAUAAGACAUCUCCUCACAGGUAAAGGUGUCUGUUUACAGGCAACAGACUAUGUUAGGUUCACUCACUCACUUACUCAUUCAACCACUGUUUAAUGAGAGCACCUGUUACAAUCCCAAAAAUAUGAGCAAGGCAAUUCAGGGUUCACUGUGCAGUGAAAAUUAAGAGUGCAUGGAGACUUUCCAGAACGCUAGUCUGAUCUCAGAGUGCCCCAGCCCCAUUCACUUUGCUUGAACUACACGUGCUUGCUUGCCCCUGUGUUCUCUUCUCAUUGAGAGCUGAAGUGUGUCAGCUUGUAAAAACAAAACAACGGGAGAAAAACACUAAUUAUAUCUAUGACUAACAGUCUCCAGCAUUUAUGGAAAGUAGAAAGUCAGUUUGGUAGAAAAAAAUAUUUUUUGAAGUCAUAAAUGUGUGUUGGACAUCUGCACACAAUACAGGCAUCUGCCAAGAGAUAACAGUUCACCAAAUGCUUCUUGAGUACCUCUGUAUGUCAGGCCCUAAGAGCCCACAGAGAACAGUCUCGUCUUUAGAAUCAGAUACAGACAAGAUUUGAAAGGACUCCCAGCAGCAGCUGGCCUGCUUACUCAGGUAAUUUGAGAAGGGCCUAAAAAUAGGAUUCUUUAUAAAGGAGUGGGUAGGGUUUAAAGAAAUGACAAGGAAUAUGCACUGUGGUGCCACCAGUAACUGCAGGUGUCCUCGAAAGUUCUGAGCUUUAAAAGACAAAAGGACAGAGUGGUUGGUGGAGUGUCUGAGAUGGUGGCAUUUCAGGAGGUGCCUGGAGGAUCAGACAGUUCAGCCUGCCAGUUCUCUACCUUCCAGUCUUACAAACUCCAUCCUGGACCCACCCAGACGCCAAGAGGCAAGGGGGCCUCUGACACAAACCACUUGCCAGCUUCAGGCAGAGAGUAGAUGAAGACCCCACAUGAGCAAGAGGCCACAGAAGCUCAGCUCAGACUUGCCACCUCGCACUGCUUUCUUAGGGAAGCAACAAGAGAGCUGAGCCUUGAGGUCUAACAAAAAUUCUUAAGACAGGAAGGGCUGAGCUUGGGCUCUGUCCUUUCAAUAUUUGUACUGGGUCAUUCUGUAUGCAGAGACAUAAGGGCAUAUUCUAAAGGAACAAUGCCAAAUGAAAUCAUACUGACUGGUAGUAUCAGUGUGAGCCAGAGACCACACUGGUACAUCACCUUUAUUCUGCAGAGACCUGGUGCAUAAGGCUACCAUUCAUAUCACUUACAGAUCAGAAAAUGGAGACAGGUUACUAUAGUACUUUGUCCAGCAUCAUCUACUUAGUGAGUAGUGAAGCAGUGCACACUGCAGCACGGUGGCCUCAUGCCUGCACACUGGUUGUCACUAACUCCCCACAUAGCCUCACUUUACCCUGGACUCUUACAACUUGGCAGCGGGUGGGGCAAGGAUUUCAACCAAAUUCAGAGCCAUGCUCUGAAUAAUUGAAUCAUUUGCCCACUAACUUGCAUUGCAAAAUGAAACUAGUGCCUUAUGGUAGAAGCUAGUCAGUGGACUUUAUUCUUUAGGUUAAAUAUUGGUUCAAAAGAGCAACUGUUGCUGCAUCUUAGAUAACAAUUCCUCUAGUUUCCCUUGCUAUCCUGGUAUAAAUAUCUCUCCUUUUGCUCUAAACUGUGGCCUAAAUUGUAUGGUAAAUUAUGGUUCACCUACCCUGAUGACUGUCCCCAGGGCUAGCUGGUCUUUUCACUGUCUCACUACAGUGACUUGACAGACUCACAGAAGGUAAGCAUUAACUGGACAAAUGAGUAGAGAGAUUGCUUACAUAAGCCAGUUCCAAGUUACUAGCUUUACAUAGCUUCACCAUCUAUCAGCACAGGUGUGGCUCCCUAUGGAAGCCAGAUUGAGCUGUUCCAGCACAAAGCAGCAUGGCUUGGACUGUGUCAUCUCAAAUCUUCUACCUCUUGACUGCAUUAUGAUCCAUGAAGCAGAAAAACUAAAAUUAAGAGGGCUUCUAAAUUUU
rnacentral:lncRNA from 1 species